AGCAUGUCACCUUCAGGCAGCAAAGUCCAUUUGCCACGGCCAGCCCAGAAGGAAGAAGAAAAAGACAAGAUGAAAUUCUGAUUGCUCCAGUGAGGUCUCCACGGUGGCCGUGGUCAUCAGGACAAGGGCAUUCACCAACUUCCAGCUCUGCUAGGAGAAAGGACUGUGUUGUCAUCCCACAUCAGGCAAGGACCUCUCAUUGCAUCCACAUCACUGAGCUGCUGCUGCGAAGAAUCUGUGAAAUGUAACCAGUGGUUGACCUCUGAGCCACUGAUAUCAGGAAACUCACUGAACAGCUGGUGACGGAAUCAGCAGAGAGAGAGACACACCUACACUUCCCAGGGGAAGAUGAGGGGAAUGACCUGCCCCCUGCUCCCCU
rnacentral:lncRNA from 1 species